UCAUUUUUCAUCUCAUCAUUUUUCAUCUCAUCAUCUCAUCUCAUCAUUUCAUCUCAUUUCUUCUCAUCAUUUCAUCUCAUCAUUUUAUCUCAUUUCAUCUCAUCUCAUUUCAAUUUCAUUAUUUCAUUUCAUUUCACUUCAUUUCAUCUCAUUUUAUCUCAUCUCAUUUCAUCUCAUCAUUUCUUCUCGUCUCAUCUCAUCAUUUCAUCAUUUCAUCUCGUUUCAUCUCAUUUCAUCUCAUCUCAUCUCAUAUCAUCAUUUCAUCUCAUCCUUUCAUUUCAUCUCAUCGUUUCAUCUCCUCAUUUCAUCUCAUCUCACCUCAGCAUUUCAUUUCACCUCAUCAUUUCUUAUUUCAUCUCAUUUUAUCUCAUUUCAUCUCAUAUCUCAAUUCAAUUUCCUUUCAUUAUUUCAUCUCAUUCAUUUCAUCUCAUUUCAUUACAUCUCAUCAUUUCCUCUCAUCAUUACAUCUCAUCUCAUCAUUUCAUCAUUUCAUCUCAUCAUUGCAUCUCAUCAUUUCAUCUCAUUUCAUCUCAUCAUUCAUCUCGUCAUUUCAUCUCAUCUCAUCAUUUCCAUUUCAUUAUUUCAUUUCAUCAUUUAAUUUCAUCAUCUCAUUUAAUUUCACCUCAUUUCAUUAUUUCAUUUUUUCAUUUCAUUAUGUCAUUUCAUUUCAUCUCAUUACAUUUCGUCUAAUUUCAUUUCAUCUCAUUUCAUCUCAUCAUUUCAUUUCAUCUCAUCUUUUCAUCUCAUCAUUUCAUCUUAUCAUCUCAUCAACUCUUUUCAUCUUAUCAUUUCAUCAUUUCAUCUCAUCACUUCAUCUCGUAUCUUCUCAGCUCAUUUCAAUUUCAUUUCAUUAUUUCAUUUCAUUAUUUCAUGUCAUCUCAUCUCAUCAUUUCAUCUCAUCACAUCUCAUCAUUUUAUCAUUUUAUUUCAUCAUCUCAUCAUUUCAUCUCAUCUCAUUUCAAUUUUAUUUAUUUCAAUUUCAUUUCAUUAUUUC
rnacentral:lncRNA from 10 species